rnacentral:rRNA from 1 species
GAUGAACGCUGGCGGCGUGCCUAAUACAUGCAAGUCGAGCGAACAGAUGAGGAGCUUGCUCCUCUGACGUUAGCGGCGGACGGGUGAGUAACACGUGGAUAACCUACCUAUAAGACUGGGAUAACUUCGGGAAACCGGAGCUAAUACCGGAUAAUAUAUUGAACCGCAUGGUUCAAUAGUGAAAGACGGUUUUGCUGUCACUUAUAGAUGGAUCCGCGCCGCAUUAGCUAGUUGGUAAGGUAACGGCUUACCAAGGCAACGAUGCGUAGCCGACCUGAGAGGGUGAUCGGCCACACUAGAACUGAGACACGGUCCAGACUCCUACGGGAGGCAGCAGUAGGGAAUCUUCCGCAAUGGGCGAAAGCCUGACGGAGCAACGCCGCGUGAGUGAUGAAGGUCUUCGGAUCGUAAAACUCUGUUAUUAGGGAAGAACAAAUGUGUAAGUACCUAUGCACGUCUUGACGGUACCUAAUCAGAAAGCCACGGCUAACUACGUG